rnacentral:rRNA from 1 species
UACGUAGGGGGCAAGCGUUGUCCGGAUUUAUUGGGCGUAAAGAGCUCGUAGGCGGCUCAGCUAGUCGGAUGUGAAAACUCCAGGCUCAACCUGGAGACGCCAUUCGAUACUGCUGUGGCUAGAGUCCGGUAGGGGAGCACGGAAUUCCUGGUGUAGCGGUGAAAUGCGCAGAUAUCAGGAGGAACACCGGUGGCGAAGGCGGUGCUCUGGGCCGGUACUGACGCUGAGGAGCGAAAGCGUGGGUAGCAAACAGG